CCCGGGAGCUGUUCUAAACCCGCUGCCUGGAACCCGGCACCUGUGGGUAAUGCUCCCGUGAGCGGAAGCACCUCUGAGUAGCCUAGGGAACAGUGUUUCUGGGCCCGAGCUGGUGUUUCUGAAGUUGAGGGUGUAGGGUGGUGGUAUCUUAAAACCCACCGCUUCCCCUGAGACUCGUUCCUACCAUAAUUAUCCUUCCCUGUAUUUACCUACUGUUUGGGGCCAAGUUCUGCAUUUGACGCUCAUGACAACCCCAUGGGUGAGGGUUCUUCUCCUUUUCCUGUGGGAAGAACGGUGAAUUCCCUGACAUCCACAGUACAGAUUUCAAAAUCAGGAAGAUAAGAUUGACACACUACGGUAAUUUACAGGCCUUAUUGAAACGUUGUCCAUUGUUCCAACAAAUCCUUGAUAGCAACAGGAAAUUCAAAACCAUGUAUCCAUUGCAUUCGGUUGUCGUGUCUUUUUUAGACUAAUCUGGAACAGUUCCUAAUUCUUCGUUUGUAACUCAUGACAUUGUCACUUUUGGAGAGUACAGGCCAUUUAUUUUGCAGAAUGUGCCGCAAGUUGGGUCUGUCUGACGUUUCAUCAUGUUUAGAUUCAGGUUCCGCGCUUUGGGUGGGAAAAACAUGGAAAUGAAUGCUGUGUCCUCAGUACCCAAUGUGAAGAGGGACAUUCUUCCCAAGAGUUCCAUUACUGCCAACGCUGACUUUGAUUCAUGUGUUGAAGAAGCGGUCAAUGUGGUUUCUCUGCUGUAAAAUUUCUAGUUUUCCCCUGGUAGUUUUCAAAAAGGAAAAAGAAGAAGUAUCUGGUGGAAACAGAGAAAAAUGUGUCCACAAACCAAGAUAAGGGUUGUAGGCGUACUUAGACUUCGUGUGGCAUCAUUACUUCUGGGCCUUCUUGGAAAACAGAGCUGGGAAAUGGAUAAGAUGUGCACACCCCCGAGUUUACAACGUCUCUAAUUCCAACCUAAUGCUGCAGGGUUUUUCUCUCCUCUCCUCCUCCUCCUCCUCCGACCUCCCCCCCCCCACCGGUGUUUGUAACUGUAUUCUCCAGCCCUGAGAACUUGGCUCCCGAUUCACCCAUCGAUUGAUUGAUUGAUUUGUUCAAUUUCCUAGAAUUCCAAAAAGUAGCUUCAGAUUUGUUCAUCUGUGUCUGGAGCGGUGGGGAGCCUACCGAUUAGAGUUAAAUAUUUGUUUGGAGUUCUUUUUGUCUUUAGCUUGGGGGCAUAUGCUCUGAAUACUAUAUUCAGAAGUUGCUUAUGUUAUUGUUUUUUUCCUCACCCUUGAGUGUGUGUGUGUGUUAUUCUUUUGAAAUAAUGCUUUUGAUUCAUUUGUUUCUGUAUGUAUUACAUUUUAGGACUUUUCCUCCCUUGAAGAUUCCUCUUCCUUGAAGGUUUGAUCUAUUUUCUUUUUUUCGAGUACUCGAAGCGAUAACUUGAUUCCAAAAGGCGGUACCGAAAGGUGGACGGGCCUGGGCUGUGCCUUCAGCCUCCUGUUUCGUGGCCUUGUCGCAGCGCCGUGGAUUUAUCCUUUCCUCUGGAGCUGAGGCCGCUGGGCCAGCGGAGCCUGAGAGGCGGAAACAAUGUUGGUGGCCGCUGGGACAGGGGACCGGGAGAAGUAAGACACUAGAAAGGAACCUGGUGAGGAAAGGCCACAGGGACCGUCCUGGUCUACAGCGUUUGGGAGCAUUGCCUCCUUGGCCGCACACCACACAGCAGCCUUCGUACAGCGCGUCCUGGCCCAGAUUCAAGGAAACUUUGUCUUAAACCAGCUAUGACUCACAGCAGUCUGUGAAGUCUACCUUUGUAAACAAAGAUAAAGCAACUACGUUUUCUCCCUACCUCAUCCCUCCAGACUUUGGAAACUCCCAGUAAGUAUGCUUAUAUUUUCAUAGCAACGCAUUUGUGUAAGUCCAAUAAGAAUCUGUUCUCCUUGCGACAGGACACUAUUGGAAACACUGGUCAUAUUACCAAGGCUUUGGCUAGAAUAUCAUAUCUGAGAACGACGCGCAUAGACUGAGAUAUGACCAGACGGCGCUAAGGAACAAAGAGUGACUGUAUGGAACCAACCCUUGGAAAAAUCAGCCUGAUAACCUUGCUGGGGUUCCCAACAGCCUUAUCAUGUGAGUCAGGAAGAUUGCCUCCUGACAGGCCCAGGAACCUCACGAAGAGGGACUGCCCCCCAAAUUUAUAGGUAUUCCAGGUAAGAUCGGACAGGGAGGUGUUGGCUUGGCUUCUUAGCCUGGGGAGGCUUUUCAGAGUUCCAUCUGAGAUUCCUCAUGAAAAGUUCCAGGAAAGCAGACUUGAAAGAGCCUGGAUGGUCAGUCACUAUUCUUGCUGCACUCACAUAAACAAGAGAGCCAAGUUUAUUGCAACUAGACUGAAUUUGCAAACAAAAUAGUCUUGCUACGGUUGUCCUUGCCACAGAUCGGGGCGAUUACAGAGAGAACAGGUCUGCUUCAGUAACACACCUUCACAGGUAUAUUCUAGCACCGCGGAUUAUCUUUGAUGUUUGUCUUCACCUAGGCUAGAUCCUGAAUUCUAGUUUCUUCCAGUAGCCGGCUACAACUCCAAACUUCCAGCAUUUCUCCUGCCCUCUGACCUGGGAUCCUUGAGACCUAAAACCGCCCAUCCCACAACCGGGCAGGCCCAAGUGGGGUGACUCAAUCCAAACUUCGGAAGGACCACCACAGCAGCUCGCGGGGGGACAGUCUUCGUGCCUGUUGCCGGUGGGCCCCUCAGGACGGUCACCAGAGACGUUCACGCCACAGACCAGGCACGUCUGCGAGGUUGCCGCUGCCCGCCCUCCCCUCACCCGAGGACAUUUUGAGCCCUAGAUGUGCCCUAGUUAUCCUCUCCACGUGGCGGCACUCAGAGCUCAGGAACGGCGUUGUCAUCGGCCCCAGUCUUUAACCUCCGUUGCGUCAUGUGAUGCCGUCACAAGACGUAGGUUUCAGGCAUCUACGGGGGGGUCUUGGAAUGUACCCCCAUACGGGGGGGCUGGAGGCCUGACCUUGGGAGUCCGCCUGCGUCAGCACCUCCUGAAGUGAGACACGACUCUGACCUGACCUGACCUGUCCUCGGGACGAAGACCAGUUGGAUGAGAUAUGGAGCAACCUGUCGGCUCCGGACAGGUUCAAACCCAUUGACGCCAGGUGCCCAUCUUGAACUUUGAUCGCCAAGGCGUCCAUUUCAAAGAAGGCUAUCUCACAAGAACACAUUGCCAGCCACCCUAGGAAAAGGGCCAGGCCACCUCCCCACUCUGCUGUUUUAGAGAGUUCGGUGGACUUCUAUAGCUGACCAUUUGGGCCACUUUUUUUUCUCUCUCUCUCUUCCGAAGCCUUAGAUUCCUGUUCUUAUGUUUUUUUUUUUUUUC